rnacentral:rRNA from 1 species
UAGGGAAUUUUCGUCAAUGGGCGCGAAGCCUGAACGAGCGAUGCCGCGUGAGUGAAGAAGGCCUUCGGUCGUAAAGCUCUGUUGCGGGGGAAAAAAGGCAGCAUCAGGAAAUGGGUGCUGACUGAUGGUGCCCCGCCAGAAAGUCACGGCUAACUACGUGCC